UCAGCCGUUAUAGAGUCGUGCAUAACAGAAGAAAGAUUGUUUAUGCUGGAUGUAAAUAAAAGAGAUAAUUGCUCGUAAAUUGCUGAAUAAUUUUGAUUAUCUGCAGAUGGUAUGAAUUGUUUUAAAAUAAAAUUAGGGAUUAUUUUUUUUCUAUGAGUGGAGUAAAUCGACUAGACAGUAUCUUGAGCUUGAUCAGAAAGAAAUUCCCUAAGUUUACACAGAUGAUAUUACAUAAAUGCAUUCUUAAUGCAAUUUAAAGAUAAAUUCACAUCUUAGGAUGCCAAAUCAUAAUUGUUCCUCAAAAGCUUGAAGAGUAUAUUGCUGGCUCUGUAUGUAUGAGAGGGAAAAUUCUUUUACAAAAUUAUCAUUCUAACGUUUUCAACUUUUUUUUUUUCGACAAAAAUCAGUUUGCAACUUACAAAUUAGAAGCUUCUAUCAAGACUAUUCAUGUUAAAGUAUUUGGAAUUGAUUUGAAAGCCUUUGGUAGCCCUUACAAAUAUUCCUG